rnacentral:rRNA from 1 species
CAGCCGCCGCGGGAAUACGAAGGGUGCAAGCGUUAAUCGGAAUUACUGGGCGUAAAGCGUGCGUAGGCGGUGAGUUAAGUCUGCUGUGAAAUCCCCGGGCUCAACCUGGGAAUGGCAGUGGAUACUGGCUCGCUAGAGUGUGUCAGAGGAUGGUGGAAUUCCCGGUGUAGCGGUGAAAUGCGUAGAGAUCGGGAGGAACAUCAGUGGCGAAGGCAGCCACCUGGUCCACUUCUGACGCUGAGGCGCGAAAGCGUGGGGAGCAAACCGGAUUAGAUACCCGAGUAGUCCCUGUCUCUUAUAA